GACGAACGCUGGCGGCGUGCUUAACACAUGCAAGUCGAGCGGUAAGGCCCUUUCGGGGUACGACGAGCGGCGAACGGUGAGUAACACGUGGGUGACCUGCCCUCAGCUCUGGGAUAAGCCUGGGAAACCGGGUCUAAUACCGGAUAUGACUCCAUGACGCAUGUUGUGGGGUGGAAAGCCUUGUGCGGCUGAGGAUGGGCCCGCGGCCUAUCAGCUUGUUGGUGGGGUGAUGGCCUACCAAGGCGACGACGGUAGCCGGCCUGAGAGGGCGACCGGCCGACACUGGGACUGAGACACGGCCCAGACUCCUACGGGAGGCAGCAGUGGGGAAUCUUGCGCAAUGGGCGAAAGCCUGGCGCAGCGACGCCGCGUGAGGGAUGACGGCCU
rnacentral:rRNA from 1 species